UGAGAUUUGACCGUGGUGAUAUUUGUAC
rnacentral:piRNA from 1 species